rnacentral:lncRNA from 1 species
AUCCAGACUGAGUUGAAAAGAAUGAUAAAGACAGAGCUGAGAGGGCCACAGUUUUAGUGACAGCCUCAGCUGUGACAAAGGAGAGAAAACAGAAAGACCUGGGAAAGUGCAAGGAUGAAGCAAUUAAGUUUGAGAAAUGUGAUGUGAGGUUUAGGAAAGGUGGAUUUUAGCCCCAGCAGACUUUUAGCUGGACACGGACCUAAUACCUUGAGACUUCAUUGUUCCCAUUAAAGAAAAAAUUAUCUUCUGACUUUCUAGGGGUUUGGGGGUCCCAGAUAUCAAAAGAUUUAAACCACUUAGGAGGUUUCCAUUGGAAGGAGAAGACUGUCUUUAGCCCACUGCAUCCCCUCAAGCCAUCCCAAGCUUUCUCUGUGCCAGGGACUGGACGCACGCUAAAAUACGAACCUGUGUGGACUUCUUUCUUAGGAGCCUUUGCACCAGCACAAGAAAGAGACAGAGACAGUGAUGGCGAGACUCAAGCACGCAUAUCUUGAUGGACUCCAAAAUGCUCUUCCUAAUUCCUUCUCUGUGGCUCAUUCUUCAUCCUCUAUUUGCAUUGGGAAGGACAGCGUAGGGCCGAGAGGAAUCACGGCUGAAUGGUCUGAGAUCCCGACCUGCAGAAGUAACUGGCCACUUCAGGGAAGAGAUGACUAAGAGCACUUAGAAUUUAUCCAGCUCUCAAGGCGACUUCACCAAGGAACAACCACAGUGUUGUUUUUUCACAGAAACACCAAACUUGGAAAUAAACCCUUCCAGGCUGUAUGUGGCGCCUCAGUAUUCUCCUAAUUGUAUUUCCAGAGGCCACUCAGAAGGAGGGAAGUGAGGCUUCCAGGUCUGGACAGCCAGGGUGCAGUCACACUCGG